UUCCAGCGCUGGUUGACACCCAUUGCAACCACCUACCCUGAGGUGCUGUAAUCCUCAUCAUAAGCCAGUUUCCUGAAAGUCAAAACCUGGAGAUCAUCUCAAAUCAAAGGCAAUCUUUAAAGGGACUCAGGAAGCAACACAGGCAUUUUUCAAAAAGAUGAUGACCUAGUUCUGGAAAUCACCUCCUUCGUUCAGUCAGAAGUUUACCAAGACGGCUGAGCACAUGCACGAUAUGAAGAUUGAUCCAUGGACUCAGCUUGAGACACGUGUCUUGCUUUAUGAAGGUGAUCAUGAUAUAUUGGGGAAAAUAAGGGGGUUGUAAUCAAAUGUGUGUUGUUAUUCUGACUUUACCCCUUGUUAGCUGUGUAACCUUAGGACAAGUCCAUGGACUUUGCUGAGAUCCAGUUUAUGUAUCUGUGUAAUUCAAGAUAUCGAUCUUGCAAGAUGUGAAGUUAAUAUAUGUAAAAUUCUUGACAAAAUAUGGCUUAAGGAAUACUGGGGCACGUUGAGAAGCAGAGUGAGUUUUUAGAGAUUUUUAUAUGGCAGUCAUCAUGCUUAUGUGUCCCUAUUUUCUAUAACCUUCCAUCUUCAGCUUCCCUAGGAUGUCUGGGGUUGGAAGCUAGGCUAGCCCAGACUGUCACUGAGGAGAGCAGAGCUGGAGCUCUCAUUCUGAAAGGUCAGUCUGGAACGCCUAGAGCCUUAUUGAGGACAACAGCUGUAGCUGCAAAUCCACACAGCAAGGCAAAGCAACUGUACCAUGAUUAAGGAUCGGAACCCAAAGGAGUGAAGCAAGGCGGAUGAAGAAAAAGGAUAAGGAGAAAGAAUUGGCUGCUUAUCCUCUGCCUUCAAAUCUAUCAGCAGAACCCCCUCCACUCCCCUGCCCCACCCCCAACCCCCUCCACUGGCAGAAAGUAAAGGAAAACCAGCUGGAAUGGAAGCCCAGGGAGAGUGUUUGCAGACUUCAGCCCUCUGCAGUACACAGGGAAUCUUUUGGACAGUCAACAAAGAAGUCUUGGCAGGGAGAAGCAAGAUGGUUUCAGGGUUCAAGAUGGAGUUUUCAAACAAGAAUUAAAGCAGGAAUGUACUCAAAUUUUUGUCCUUCUGGUGCAUCAAAUAUGCAUUCAAGGCUGCCCUGGUGGCUCAGUGGUAAAGAAUCCGCCUGCCAAUGCAGGAGACAGGGGUUCCAUCCCCUGAUCCAGGAAGAUCCCACAUGCUGUGGAGCAACAAAGCCCGUGUGCUACAAGUGAGUCCACACUCUGGAGCCCAGGAACUGCAAAUACUGAGCCCACGUGCCGCAACCACUGAAGCCACAUGCCCUGGAGCCUGUGCUCUGCAAGAGAAGCCACUGCAAUGAGAAGCCCGAGCACCGCAACUAGAGAGCAGCCCCCGCUAGCCACAAGUAGAAAAAAGCCCAUGCAGCAACGAAGACCCAGCACAGCCCAAAAG
rnacentral:lncRNA from 1 species